rnacentral:rRNA from 1 species
GGGUCAGUAGGUUGGUCGUGCCACCGGUACGUACUGGUCUCACUGAUUCCUCCUUCCUGAAGAACCGUAAUGCCAUUAAUUUGGUGUUGCGGGGAAACAGGACUGUUACUUUGAAAAAAUUAGAGUGUUUAAAGCAAGCUAACGCUUGAAUACAUUAGCAUGGAAUAAUGAAAUAGGACGAUCGAUCCUAUUUUAUUGGUUUCUAGGAUUGACGUA